UGAGGAAUAUUGGUCAAUGGGCGCGAGCCUGAACCAGCCAAGUCGCGUGAGGGAAGACGGCCCUACGGGUUGUAAACCUCUUUUGCCGGGGAGCAACGCUGCGGACGCGUCCGCAGGUGAGAGUACCCGGAGAAAAAGCAUCGGCUAACUCCGUGCCAGCAGCCGCGGUAAUACGGAGGAUGCGAGCGUUAUCCGGAUUUAUUGGGUUUAAAGGGUGCGUAGGCUGUUUGUCAAGUCAGAGGUGAAAGGCCGCAGCUCAACUGUGGAAUUGCCUUUGAUACUGGCAGGCUUGAAUACUGUUGCCGUGGGAGGAAUGAGUAGUGUAGCGGUGAAAUGCAUAGAUAUUACUCAGAACACCGAUUGCGAAGGCAUCUCACGAAGCAGACAUUGACGCUGAGGCACGAAAGCGUGGGGA
rnacentral:rRNA from 1 species